GAGAGGAAGGUCCCCCACACUGGUACUGAGACACGGACCAGACUCCUACGGGAGGCAGCAGUGAGGAAUAUUGGUCAAUGGCCGAGAGGCUGAACCAGCCAAGUCGCGUGAGGGAAGACGGCCCUACGGGUUGUAAACCUCUUUUGUCGGGGAGCAAAGCGAACCACGUGUGGUUCAUUGAGAGUACCCGAAGAAAAAGCAUCGGCUAACUCCGUGCCAGCAGCCGCGGUAAUACGGAGGAUGCGAGCGUUAUCCGGAUUUAUUGGGUUUAAAGGGUGCGCAGGCGGAGGUGCAAGUCAGCGGUCAAAUUGCGGGGCUCAACCCCGUACUGCCGUUGAAACUGCAUCCCUUGAGUGCGCGAGAAGUAUGCGGAAUGCGUGGUGUAGCGGUGAAAUGCAUAGAUAUCACGCAGAACUCCGAUUGCGAAGGCAGCAUACCGGCGCGCAACUGACGCUCAUGCACGAAAGCGUGGGUAU
rnacentral:rRNA from 1 species